UGUCCAAUGCGGGGAUCGAACCCGGGUCGUAGUGGUCGUAAACCAAUUAAUAAUUAACCACAAUUUAUAUAUAAAAUUGUAC